AACGAACGCUGGCGGCAUGCCUAACACAUGCAAGUCGAACGAGACCUUCGGGUCUAGUGGCGCACGGGUGCGUAACGCGUGGGAACCUGCCCUUAGGUUCGGAAUAACUCCCCGAAAGGGGUGCUAAUACCGGAUAAUGUCUUCGGACCAAAGAUUUAUCGCCUUUGGAUGGGCCCGCGUUGGUUUAGCUAGUUGGUAGUGUAAAAGCCUACCAAGGCGACGAUCCAUAGCUGGUCUGAGAGGAUGAUCAGCCACACUGGGACGGAGACACGGCCCAGACUCCUACGGGAGGCAGCAGUGGGGAAUAUUGGAAAAUGGGCGAAAGCCUGAUCCAGCAAGGCCGCGUGAGUGAUGAAGGCCUGAGGGUUGUAAAGCUCUUUUACCCGGGAUGAUAAUGACAGUACCGGGAGAAUAAGCUCCGGCUAACUCCGUG
rnacentral:rRNA from 1 species